GGUUUAUGAAAGCUUCUAACUUUUUAAUGCAUAAUUGCACCUUUUUUGGA
rnacentral:tRNA from 1 species